rnacentral:rRNA from 1 species
GAUGAACGCUGGCGGCGUGCCUAACACAUGCAAGUCGAGCGAACAGAUAAGGAGCUUGCUCCUUUGACGUUAGCGGCGGACGGGUGAGUAACACGUGGGUAACCUACCUAUAAGACUGGGAUAACUUCGGGAAACCGGAUCUAACACCGGAUAAUAUUUCGAACCGCAUGGUUCGUUAGUGAAAGAUGGUUUUGCUAUCACUUAUAGAUGGACCCGCGCCGUAUUAGCUAGUUGGUAAGGUAACGGCUUACCAAGGCGACAAUACGUAGCCGACCUGAGAGGGGGAUCGGCCACACUGGAACUGAGACACGGUCCAGAGUCCUACGGGAGGCAGCAGUAGGGAAUCUUCCGCAAUGGGCGAAAGCCUGACGGAGCAACGCCGCGUGAGUGAUGAAGGUCUUCGGAUCGUAAAACUCUGUUAUUAGGGAAGAACAUACGUGUAAGUAACUGUGCACGUCUUGACGGUACCUAAUCAAAAAGCCACGGCUAACUACGUG